rnacentral:rRNA from 1 species
UACGUAGGGACCAAGCGUUGUUCGGAUUUACUGGGCGUAAAGGGCGCGUAGGCGGCAGGACAAGUCACGUGUGAAAUCUCCGGGCUUAACUCGGAACGGCCAAGUGAUACUGUCAAGCUAGAGUGCAGAAAGGGCAAUCGGAAUUCUUGGUGUAGCGGUGAAAUGCGUAGAUAUCAAGAGGAACACCUGAGGCGAAGGCGGAUUGCUAGGCUGACACUGACGCUGACAGCGCGAAAGCCAGGGGAGCAAACGGG